CUCCUAGCAUGCAAAUCCCUCCCCCAGUUCCUCAUUGGUCAAGUACUAUGGGGUUACAAUCUUCCUGGACGUCGCCUAAGUUUAAUCAUCCCCCUUAUAAGGUUAUACCCUGGUCCCCUUCCUGCUUAAGCUUUGAUUUCCCAAUAACGAAACUUUCUUCCCUUUUAUGGGCUGACCCCUCCUCUACAUUCUGUUUACAUAUCGUGACCUUCUAGAUGCAUGCAUGCUGUUUGUUACAUCUGCAGGCUGGCUGCCAGUACUUAGAUUUAUCAUGCCUUGAAAAUUGACCAUUUAAAAUGUUUUCUCACAGGGCCUUGUGGCUCUGCUUUUCAGAAAGACUGGAGGACACUCAUAGUCACAGGAAGACUAGGAUAUUCAUGGGUAGCAGGCCUGAAUUUUCUGGCAAGAACCCUUGGACUAAGGUUUCAAAAGGGAGAGAAUUUCCAUGUGAGGCUGUAGAGUGUUAGCAUAUCUGCUGGAUAUUUCUCUUGUGUAUUGACUCAGUGUGCUGGAACUUCUCCACUGGUAUCGUGCCACCGCACUCCAGCCUGGGUGACAGAGCAAGACUCCAUCUCAAAAACAACAAAAACAAAAACUUCUCCACUGGACUCCCAGACUCCCACUAUUCAUGAGUACUUGUCAAAACUGAUGCCUCUGCAAAAGAAUAACAGUAGAAAGCUUCUAUUCUGUCAACUUGCUGACAUCCCAAAGCUGGUUUAUUAAGAAUGUCAUGCUUUGUAUAUAAUAUUGAUAAUAAAAACAAUAAAUAAUUUGUUUUGAGCACCCUCUGGCCUG
rnacentral:lncRNA from 1 species